rnacentral:rRNA from 1 species
CCUACGGGAGGCUGCAGUGGGGAAUAUUGGACAAUGGGCGAAAGCCUGAUCCAGCCAUGCCGCGUGUGUGAAGAAGGCCUUCGGGUUGUAAAGCACUUUCAGUGGGGAAGAAAGCCUUGGGGCUAAUACCCUCGAGGAAGGACAUCACCCACAGAAGAAGCACCGGCUAACUCCGUGCCAGCAGCCGCGGUAAUACGGAGGGUGCGAGCGUUAAUCGGAAUUACUGGGCGUAAAGCGCGCGUAGGCGGUCUGAUAAGCCGGUUGUGAAAGCCCCGGGCUCAACCUGGGAACGGCAUCCGGAACGGUCAGGCUAGAGUGCAGGAGAGGAAGGUAGAAUUCCCGGUGUAGCGGUGAAAUGCGUAGAGAUCGGGAGGAAUACCAGUGGCGAAGGCGGCCUUCUGGACUGACACUGACGCUGAGGUGCGAAAGCGUGGGUAGCAAACAGGAUUAGAUACCCCUGUAGUC